rnacentral:rRNA from 2 species
GAUAGCUUGAGUGCAGAAGAGGGGUAAGGAACUCCAUGUGUAGCGGUGGAAUGCGUAGAUAUAUGGAAGAACACCAGUGGCGAAGGCGGCUACCUGGUCUGCAACUGACGCUGAGACUCGAAAGCAUGGGUAGCGAACAGGAUUAGAUACCCUGGUAGUCCAUGCCGUAAACGAUGAGUGCUAGGUGUUGGAGGGUUUCCGCCCUUCAGUGCCGGAGCUAACGCAUUAAGCACUCCGCCUGGGGAGUACGACCGCAAGGUUGAAACUCAAAGGAAUUGACGGGGGCCCGCACAAGCGGGGGAGCAUGGGGUUUAAUUCGAAGCUACGCGAAAAACCUUACCAGGUCUUGACUUCUUGCGCCAACCCUAAAGAUAGGGCGUUUCCUUCGGGAACGCGAUGACAGGUGGUGCAUGCUCGUCGUCAGCUCGGGUCGUGAGAUGUUGGGUUAAGCCCCGCAACGAGCGCAACCCUUGUUUACUAGUUGCCAGCAUUAAGUUGGGCACUCUAGUGAGACUGCCGGUGACAAACCUGGAGGAAGGUGGGGACGACGUCAGAUCAUCAUGCCCCUUUAUGACCUGGGCUACACACGUGCUACAAUGGACGGUACAACGAGUCGCGAACUCGCGAGGGGCAAGCAAAUCUCUUAAAGCCGUUCUCAGUUUCGGGACUGGC